GACGAACGCUGGCGGCGUGGAUUAGGCAUGCAAGUCGAACGGUAUCAUCCUUUCGGGGGUGAGAGAGUGGCGAACUGGUGAGUAACACGUAGGUUAUCUACCCUCAAGACGGGGACAACCCAGGGAAACUUGGGCUAAUACCGGAUGUGAGCAACUUUUAGUUGUUUGAAAGGUGGCGUAAGCUGUCGCUUGGGGAUGAGCCUGCGUCCUAUUAGUUAGUUGGUGAGGUAACGGCUCACCUAGGCAAUGAUAGGUAGGCGGCCUUAACGGGUGGUCGCCCACACUGGGAUUGAGAUACGGCCCAGACUCCUACGGGAGGCAGCAGUCGAGAAUAGUCUACAAUGGUCGGAAGACUGAUAGUGCGACGCCGCGUGAACGAUGGAAUCCCUUCGGGGUGUAAAGUUCUUUUAUAUGUGAGCAGUGCUUCUUAAUAUUAAACAGUAUGGGGAGAGAGAUAUUAGCAUAUGAAUAAGCAACGGCUAACUCCGUGCCAGCCAGCCGCGGU
rnacentral:rRNA from 1 species